rnacentral:rRNA from 1 species
UACGGGGGUGGCAAGCGUUGUUCGGAAUUACUGGGCGUAAAGGGCGCGUAGGCGGGGAGGUAAGUCGGGUGUGAAAUCCCUCGGCUCAACCGAGGAACUGCGCCCGAGACUGCCUUUCUUGAGUCCCGGAGAGGAAGGUGGAAUUCCCGGUGUAGCGGUGAAAUGCGUAGAUAUCAGGAGGAAUACCUGUGGUGUAGACGGCUCUCUGGACCGCGACUGACGCUGAGACACGAAAGCGUGGGUAGCAAACAGG